UCUUGUGAUGAUUCCCAAUUCUUAAGCAUAGUUCACCUGAAGGUCCCUGGACCACUGAACGACAACCCAUCAUCAUUUUCUUUCACCUUUGUCUGAGU
rnacentral:snoRNA from 16 species